CAGCCGCCACGGUAAUACAGAGGGUGCGAGCGUUAAUCGGAUUUACUGGGCGUAAAGCGUGCGUAGGCGGCUUCUUAAGUCGGAUGUGAAAUCCCCGAGCUUAACUUGGGAACUGCAUUUGAAACUGGCAAGCUAGAGUCUUGUAGAGGGGGGUAGAAUUCCAGGUGUAGCGGUGAAAUGCGUAGAGAUCUGGAGGAAUACCGGUGGCGAAGGCGGCCCCCUGGACAAAGACUGACGCUCAGGUGCGAAAGCGUGGGGAGCAAACAGGAUUAGAUACCCGAGUAGUCCCUGUCUCUUAUAC
rnacentral:rRNA from 1 species